rnacentral:rRNA from 1 species
UACAGAGGUCCCAAGCGUUGUUCGGAUUCACUGGGCGUAAAGGGUGCGUAGGUGGUUGGGUAAGUCUGAUGUGAAAUCUCCGGGCUCAACCCGGAAAUGGCAUUGGAUACUAUUCGGCUAGAGGUUUGGAGGGGGGGACUGGAAUUCUCGGUGUAGCAGUGAAAUGCGUAGAUAUCGAGAGGAACACCAGUGGCGAAGGCGAGUCCCUGGACAACACCUGACACUGAGGCACGAAAGCUAGGGGAGCAAACAGG